rnacentral:misc_RNA from 1 species
GAUGAAGAACGCAGCGAAAUGCGAUACGUAAUGUGAAUUGCAAAUUCAGUGAAUCAUCGAGUCUUUGAACGCACAUUGCGCCCCCUGGUAUUCCGGGGGGCAUGCCUGUCCGAGCGUCAUUGCUGCCCUCAAGCACGGCUUGUGUGUUGGGCCCCGUCCUCCGAUCCCGGGGGACGGGCCCGAAAGGCAGCGGCGGCACCGCGUCCGGUCCUCGAGCGUAUGGGACUUUGUCACCCGCUCUGUAGGCCCGGCCGGCGCUUGCCGAUCAACCCAAAUUUUUAUCCAGGUUGACCUCGGAUCAGGUAGGGAUACCCGCUGAACUUAAGCAUAUCAAUAAGCGGAGGA